UUAAGUAAUCAUUGAAUUAGUCUCUUAUAAGUCCUCUUCAUUAUACACAUAUGGUAAGCAGUACAUAGAAAUUUUUAUAAGUUGCAAAAAUAAUACUGUCAAUUCUCUAAUUGGAAUCAACUGCAGAAAUCACAAAGGCAUGAUUUCUAUCCAUAGAAUACAUAGUAUAGAUUAAUGCAUACAUAUACAGGAUUUUAUUCUUAGAAACUAUUAAGGUGGUUAUUCUGUUUUUCAACGUGAUGAGACCUAGAAUCACCUGAGACACAAGCUUCAAUCAUGACUGAGCAGGAGUAUCAUAAAUAACUUAAUUUAGGUAGGAGAAACUCUUUCGUGGGUAGCAAAAGUUGUGGAUCUUAAGCAUUGGCCUUUUCACUAACAGGUUGACUUUCUGUGUCCCAAUCAAUAAGUCUAAAAUCCAAACCUCAGAGAAUGAUACUUUUAUAUAAUAUCCACAAAUACUCCUUAAAUAAAUGUAAUUUAUUUAAAAAUACAGGUAUUUCUUUAUGAGUUUUUAGCAUCCUAAUUCCACCUUGAUACCGUGUCUUGACAGCUGAAAAAAAUCUUACAAUCAUUUUCUUGUUAUCUAACCCUAUAUAAUUCUUAACUUUUGUCACUAUUUUAUAAAAUCUGAAAGGUAAACUAAUUCAUGGUAUAACAACCUUAACCUUGAUCUGCUCAGGGACAGAUGAAGAUGUAAUAAUUAUGUUAAGAGCCAAUCUAUUCUACACAACAACCCCAUGUCUAGAAAGUGUUAUUGAUACAGUGUAUUUAAAAAUAACAAAACAGUUCUGUCUUAUUACAUACUUCCUGCUAGGCAUCCGCUGGCAACUUUGAUAAAUACAACACUACUACAUUGUAGUUUCAGUGGCUUUUUCCUUCUAUGAAUCAGUAUUUGAGAGGUAUCUUAAAAAUACAAGAUGGUGGAUGACAGACAUAUGUUUUCAAGAAGAUUUAAAUUUCUCCAGCUUUGGCAGAACCUUCAGAGGAAGUGAUCUGCAGUAGCACAGCCUGUUUAUGAGUGUUCAUCUCCUCCUCUCAGCAUGGCAUGAAUUGAUAUAUUACCCUACAUAUUUGAUCACUCUUACAUAGCAACAAAUUUAGUCACACAGGGAUAGCUUCUAAACGUUCUGUCAUGGUGUAGGAAGCAAAGAAUUUCCAUAUGUUGUCUGCAACAAUUUUAUUUUUGAAAAUUUUACUAUAAUUUUAUAAUGUACAGUACAGAUUGUCCAAAUAUAAACCACAGUUUUAUGUGUUUCAGUAAUCCAAGGAUAUACUUUAUGGAGUAUGGUAUGGAUUGGUGGGAAGAGUUUCCUCAGCAGGCCCAAACAAGAGCAUCUCUCCCUUAGAAUGAAUAGGACAGGUCUAGUACAGAAUAGAGUUUAUUUAGUGUCAUGAAAAGGGGGUGUUGAAAAGGAGUGGAAGGAAAGAAUGGGAAGAGGGGGCAGAAACAUGUGGAGAAAGGAGAGAGGUAGAAGGAGCUCGAAGAAAGAAAAGAGGCAGGGAGAGAAAGAGAAAAGAGGCUAAAACGUCCCUUUUAUUGCAAGCCAGACCUAUCUGUAUGUUGCUAAUAACUGUUUGGUGCAGCCUAGAAGAAAAAAAAAUGUUAAGGUGCUAACGAAUCUCCAUUUUUGUUUAAUUAAAAAUAGGAGAAACUAGAAAGAUUUGGUGAUUAAUGUACAAUAGGGUCAAUGUGAUCUUUUGCUCUUUUGAUCCUGCCAAUUUUGGGGUGAUGUGGGGAAGCUAAGAAAACAGAGAUAGGGAUGUUGGUCAAGGCUUAGGUGAUUUGUACGUUUUCUUGCUGUCCAGGGUCUGUGGGAACAUCUGUAGGUAGGAAGUUGAAGGCCCAAAGGAGUACCUGUAUCUGUAAGAAGAGGUGAAUAGGCUGGAUCGUCCAUGGGUUGCUCGUCUGGAGCCUUCCUGAAUGUAAAGUUUGAGUAGAUACCUGGAUUUGAAAGUGAAAAAUAAGAAAAAUACACACACACACACACACACACACACACACACACACACACACACACAUGAGGUAGAAAAUAAUUAAGUAAGUUGGGGGAAAAGUAACUUUUUUAGUGUACAUUUGAAACGCUUAGGUCUUGGUGGUUGAGAUGAGGAGACGCUCAAAUCCAGGGAACAGGAGAGGAAUAGAGAACAGGUAGGAAUUUAGGCUAUUGAUUGGCAGACGGUGCCUGCUCAGUUCAUGAGAGGUAGAUAUGAGUGUGUUUCCUGGAGCUUAUAAAUUACAAAAGAGAUGUUUGUUAAUACCAUGAACAGUGUUUAAACUGUGCUUAGGGAAGACAAAAGUCUUUUGGGGAGCAGAAGGAAUAAGAAGGACUUCUCUCUAGGAGAAUCAAUAGAUAUAAAAUUAGUAUGAUGAAAAACUUUAAGUUUCUAUUUAAAUGAUAAUAAAAAGUUGAUGACCUUGUGAACUUGAUAGAUGAGUAGAUGGAUUUAGUGUGAGAAACACUUCAAGUCUAUAGUUAGGAAACUUAAAUUUUUAACUUUGAUGGUGGAUAUUUUAUAUUUAGCAUGAGAUAUACUUUAAUAUAUAUUUAGAAGACAAAAGAAACAUAAUAUUUGAACUUGUGAUUAAAGAAGUAUGGUCACAUAGUAGAAUAUUUUACUAGGGUUAGGCUCAUUUAUCCAAACCCCAUGAUAAGAAUUAUAAUUUUUAACUCUUACAGUCUCAAUACAACAACCAUAUAGUAUGGUGAAGAAAUAUGAAACAUUUAGUCACUGAAACCUUAGUUUAGAUAAGGAAGUAGGAGAAAGUUUCAUCUGUGAAAUGUUACAUAUGAAUUUGUAUGUCGUUUAUCAUGAAGCCUAAGAGUAAUGCAAGCCUGUUGUCUAUUUUAUCAUAGAUAAGAGAGUCUUAACUAUUUAAUGAAUAGACUAAUGGGCUAAUAUACCAGUGGAAUAUCUAGUGAUAAGCAGCCGUUGCCUGUUUUCUAGUUGUCAAGCUGCCAUUAGCUUAGCUUCAAUCUAAUCAGAAGUCAGGGAAGAAUAAAAUACAAUCUUGAUCUAAUAUAUUAAUUAAAACGACAGAGGUUAGUCUAUAAUCCAUUACCUAAACAGUUUCUCCAGGUCCCUCUGGUCUCCAUCACAACUCAAGCAAAGGUAGUCUGUUCAUCAGGCCUAAAGAUGAGAGGCUCUCCCUGUGGAGAAGGAAAAUGGGAGCAAUGACUAACCUUGUCUUAGGCAUUAUGAUACAUUUAAUUCUCUGGGUGUCCUCUGUUUGUCUACAGAUUAGCCUGAGCACUGGCAGCAGGUAAGGAAAUGGAACCAUAUCUCUCAGUGGUCACUGUACCACAAUCCAGUAUCCAGCAACCUGGAGAGAGUCUUUGACAACAUCAGCCAGGGAAACGAGACUCCAGAGCUAAAGGGGAAAAUGGUAAUCUCAAGAUGCUCCAGGGAACCCUGAUGUUGGAACAUGACUCCUUAAUCAUCUAAUUCACAAUGUCCGAUGAAGUUGAGAGUUGGACUUUCUAUCUUUGUGAAGAACUGAGUUGGAAUUUUGAUGGGGAAUUGCACUGGAACUGUUGAUCGCUUUUGUAAACUAUAGAAGCAGAUGUCUGUACCAAAAAUGAAAGAUGCUGCUAUGGUCAGAAAAUGGUGGUGCCAAUAUACUUCCUCUGCCUAACCUACUCCAUGUUCCCAUAAAGCUUUGUACAAGCUUGACAAUUAUUCUACAGUGGUCAAAGUUCUGAACAAAAAGGUGACACCUGCUCAUCCAGCAGCCAUCAAUGUUAAUGUCAUAAGAUCAAACUAUUGGUGAAUACACAUUUAUUGUAAUUGGAAUUUUUAAUGGUUUUCAUUUAUUAUAGACUGACAAUGAAUGCAACAAGAAUUAUUUCUAAACAAUCCCUGAGAACAGCACAAAUCCUUGGAUAUAAUCAGAAAUAUAUAUUUUUGUGUGUGAAAAUGACCAUUUAAAAUAGCCUCAAAUAAUUUUAUGCUAGGACCUACAACGUCCCUCGACAUGUUUUUUAACUAUGUUUGUAGUGCCAUGCCUCAUUUUUUAACCUUUGAUGGAAGCCUCAAUUGCUAUAAAGAAAGUGGUCGCUUGGUCCUAUAAACAGUUUCACUGGUACUGUACUUUUGGAACAUUUUACUUCUCAUGUCAUGAGUGUAGCCUGCAAUGUCCAGCAAUAGGUAAAAAAUCACUAUCUUUAAUCUUGCUAAUAACCUGAAUAGCACUUCCAUGUAGUAUUAAAGAGAGCUGACAGAAAAAAAUAAUAGUUCAUGCUUGGAUGUUUCUUAACGUACGGAGUAUGAAACAUGAGAUACCAUCAACAAUGUGGUCUUAUCUUCA
rnacentral:sRNA from 1 species